rnacentral:tRNA from 1 species
AGCUCAGGGAUAGAGCACUUCCUUGGUAAGGAAGAGAUCAGGGGCGGCCGCCGCGCGGUUCAAAUCCCCUC